UGGGGCGAAACUGAGGUGUAAUGUCUAUCCACUACUCCAAUGGAUCUCCCGUAGACUAGGCUUUUUACUUUCUUUUGAAUGUACUUGUACUCAAGCACCUAGCCACCUUGUAAUUGGAAAUGAUUAAUAGAGAAACUCAUCUUUCAUGCGUUAUGCUCCAAUGUGUGGUGUUGAAUAAUUACUCAAACUAUCCUUAGUAAUGUUUACCAUUGAGGUAGUCCUUA
rnacentral:lncRNA from 1 species